AUGGAUGUGCACAAAUACACCUGAGACAAGCUCAGUUGUCCGUUACCAGGGCAAAAGAUAAAACUGCACGUAUAGACUGUGAAGCUUCGGGCAUUCAGAACUUCGGGAGUGCUGUUAUACACUGGUAUCGACACAGACCUGGAGAAGCCCCGGAGUGGAUACUCUACUUUAAGACACAAGCUGAUAAAUCAAAUUUUGACAAGAAGUUUAGUGUUGACAAGACAACUGAAAAGUCCACCUGUACCCUAAGAGUAAUCAAACUAAGCUACAAUGACAUGGCUACCUAUUACUGUGCCUACUGGGAUCACACAGCAUUAGAACGCCAUAGACAGGCUGUACAAAAACCUCACUCUGUAUUCUGA